UGGAUCCAGACUUUGAUUAUGGCUCAGGAUGAACGCUAGCUACAGGCUUAACACAUGCAAGUCGAGGGGAAACGACAUUGAAAGCUUGCUUUCGAUGGGCGUCGACCGGCGCACGGGUGAGUAACGCGUAUCCAACCUGCCCAUCACUUGGGGAUAACCUUGCGAAAGUAAGACUAAUACCCAAUGACGUCUCUAGAAGACAUCUGAAAGAGAUUAAAGAUUUAUCGGUGAUGGAUGGGGAUGCGUCUGAUUAGCUUGUUGGCGGGGUAACGGCCCACCAAGGCGACGAUCAGUAGGGGUUCUGAGAGGAAGGUCCCCCACAUUGGAACUGAGACACGGUCCAAGCUCCUACGGGAGGCAGCAGUGAGGAAUAUUGGUCAAUGGACGAGAGUCUGAACCAGCCAAGUAGCGUGCAGGAUGACGGCCCUAUGGGUUGUAAACUGCUUUUAUAAGGGAAUAAAGUGAGUCUCGUGAGACUUUUUGCAUGUACCUUAUGAAUAAGGACCGGCUAAUUCCGUGCCAGCAGCCGCGGUAAUACGGAAGGUCCGGGCGUUAUCCGGAUUUAUUGGGUUUAAAGGGAGCGUAGGCCGGAGAUUAAGCGUGUUGUGAAAUGUAGAUGCUCAACAUCUGCACUGCAGCGCGAACUGGUUUCCUUGAGUACGCACAAAGUGGGCGGAAUUCGUGGUGUAGCGGUGAAAUGCUUAGAUAUCACGAAGAACUCCGAUUGCGAAGGCAGCUCACUGGAGCGCAACUGACGCUGAAGCUCGAAAGUGCGGGUAUCGAACAGGAUUAGAUACCCUGGUAGUCCGCACGGUAAACGAUGGAUGCCCGCUGUUGGUCUGAAUAGGUCAGCGGCCAAGCGAAAGCAUUAAGCAUCCCACCUGGGGAGUACGCCGGCAACGGUGCAACUCAAAGGAAUUGACGGA
rnacentral:rRNA from 2 species